CAUACCCGCCUGCCAUCUUCGUGAAGGUUGAAGAGGUACCAAAGCAGCGCCGCCAUCUUAGUAAGACACGAUCUCUCCACUGCUGGACGAAGGCCUGCCGCGAGGCGCCACUGCCACCUUCCACGACCCCGAGAACGAUGAACCCGCCCAGGUGCUGCUCUCCACGCGAGCUGACUUCAUCUGCGGCGUCUCCAUCGGGUCCCGGCUCUGGGUUGCGCUGCCCUCUGUGAGCUCCGGGCGUCGUGAGCUCAAGAGCGGCACGCGCAAGUUCCCCUCCCGUUCACUGGGCGAGUGGCUCGCGCGUCUUGCCUCACCUGCUGGAGGAGGGUCUG